rnacentral:rRNA from 1 species
CAGCAGCCGCGGGAAUACGUAGGGUGCAAGCGUUAAUCGGAAUUACUGGGCGUAAAGCGUGCGCAGGCGGUUAUAUAAGACAGAUGUGAAAUCCCCGGGCUUAACCUGGGAACUGCAUUUGUGACUGUAUAGCUAGAGUACGGCAGAGGGGGAUGGAAUUCCGCGUGUAGCAGUGAAAUGCGUAGAUAUGCGGAGGAACACCGAUGGCGAAGGCAAUCCCCUGGGCCUGUACUGACGCUCAUGCACGAAAGCGUGGGGAGCAAACAGGAUUAGAUACCCCCGUAGUCCCUGUCUCUUAUAC